ensembl:lncRNA
GAGGAUCAGUGAGGAGAAAAUCGUAGAAUCAUAGAAUGGUUCACUGAAUGAAAGACAGCAGAGGAGAUAUUCGAGCUGGAGGGUGGGGUGCCCAUUGGGCAUGUUUCAACCUUUGGUCUCUGAGGACCUCAAGAUGUGGACACCUUUCCUUCCUGGUCAGCAAUGUGGGCUGGGGACACUCAGAAGACAUCAAGGAACAAGGUAGGAGCCCAUCUGACUGCCCACCUCGUCUGGUUUCAGUGCUGAGACACCAGCACCAUCAAAAGGAAAUCUUCUUUGGGCUUUUCCACCUUAACUGAUGUUUUUUUUUUUCUCUCUUUCAGAUGUUACACACCAAAAUCAUCAGUUCACAUCAUGCAGAAAUUCGCAGUGCCUGAGAAGAAUUAAUUACACAGUCAUCAUGUUUCCGUAAAACUACAGGUUUCAGCCCUCAUUGUGUUGUUUCACACACCGCCCGUUACUCGUGGCUGAAGGGCAUUUGCUCCCUGCACGAAGUGAUCUGCCUCAGCGUGGGCUCAGGCUCACAGAGGUCUCCAUCGCAUCUGCUGGCUCUGACCUGCCGCUGAUCUGAAAUGCUAAAUCCAGGGAUACCAGGAAGAUGAUCCUGAUGGUUACAAGGGAUGCCCGAAAUUGCAACUGGUUGAGACAAGCACUUGGGAAAGGUUUCAAGUCGUGUACUAUGGUUUUAAGUGUCAGGAGGUCAAGUUCGGGGGAUGAGGCACAGUGCUUGGGUCUGUAUAUUCUCAGGAGAGAUACCGAGGUCUGGCUGCUGUCAGAUAUGGUACAAAGAGAAAUCCUCUGUCUGAUCUGCUUUGAGUUUCUGUGUGCUACAGCUACAGGAAGCAGUAGCAAAACGGUCACAGAUGCACAGAACAGUGGUGUGCUUAGCAAAGGGUGCAAGACUGUUCUGUGUGCUGCUGGAGGAGAGCCCUGGCCUUGCUGCACCCCCAGGACAGAGCAAGCAGGUCUGCUGUGACCCAUCGCUGGGUCCUGGGCUGGGCUUCGGGGCUGCUCUCUGGAUGCUGCUGCAGGUCCGUGCUUCCAUAGAGGCACCGGGCAAAGCAAGUAGCAAAGGAAGAGCUGGGUCGUUUUGGCUUUGGUGGGUGUCAGCACUGGGUUAUCUCUUCACACACAAAACCACAUCCCAAGGGGGAAAGAUGUCGCAGAUCAUGUGGCAAAGGAUGGGGCCGAGCCUCAUAACGUCUUCAUCUGCUGAAAUAUGUUUCUGUUUUACUGAUUCCAGGCAGAAGCAUGCUGUGGCAGUCUCCUCUCUGACAGCAUCAUCUGCAGGUUUCAAGGGAUCAUUUCUAAUGGCUAGAAGAUUAGUUAAGCGGAGAGCCAGCCCCCAGCUUCAUGCAAGCGGUGUCUGUUUUCCCAAGGCUCAGCAACCACCACAAUCCCCAUCAAGUGCCAGUGUCAAAUAUGCACAUCGGCAGGGCAUCAGGGCAGAGAUGACGCGUGGGCUUUGCUCAAAGCAUUUCGGGUGGUGGUGGACGCUGCUGGCUCUGCAUCCCACACAUCGCACCCGACUCGAGGAGCUGCCAGCAGAGCUGCUAAGCCAGCACCACGUGCGUGCUGCUCCCCGUCUGGUGCACGGUGCAGUCAUAAAUCCUCCCCGGCUUUCCCAGAGACCUGUUGGCAUCCACUCCUGUGUUCUCCACAAAAGCCUAGGGUGA